UGGGGAAUAUUGGACAAUGGGGGGAACCCUGAUCCAGCCAUGCCGCGUGUGUGAAGAAGGCCUUAUGGUUGUAAAGCACUUUAAGCGAGGAGGAGGGUACUGGUAUUAAUACUACCAGGUACUGGACGUUACUCGCAGAAUAAGCACCGGCUAACUCUGUGCCAGCAGCCGCGGUAAUACAGAGGGUGCGAGCGUUAAUCGGAUUUACUGGGCGUAAAGCGUGCGUAGGCGGCUAAUUGAGUCGGAUGUGAAAUCCCCGGGCUUAACUUGGGAAUUGCAUUCGAUACUGGUUAGCUAGAGUGUGGGAGAGGAUGGUAGAAUUCCAGGUGUAGCGGUGAAAUGCGUAGAGAUCUGGAGGAAUACCGAUGGCGAAGGCAGCCAUCUGGCCUAACACUGACGCUGAGGUACGAAAGCAUGGGGAGCAAACAGG
rnacentral:rRNA from 1 species